rnacentral:rRNA from 1 species
GACGAACGCUGGCGGCGUGCCUAAUACAUGCAAGUUGAGCGCUGAAGGUUGGUACUUGUACCAACUGGAUGAGCAGCGAACGGGUGAGUAACGCGUGGGGAAUCUGCCUUUGAGCGGGGGACAACAUUUGGAAACGAAUGCUAAUACCGCAUAAAAACUUUAAACACAAGUUUUAAGUUUGAAAGAUGCAAUUGCAUCACUCAAAGAUGAUCCCGCGUUGUAUUAGCUAGGUGGUGAGGUAAAGGCUCACCAAGGCGAUGAUACAUAGCCGACCUGAGAGGGUGAUCGGCCACAUUGGGACUGAGACACGGCCCAUACUGCUACGGGAGGCAGCAGUAGGGAAUCUUCGGCAAUGGAAGGAAGUCUGACCGAGCAACGCCGCGUGAGUGAAGAAGGUUUUCGGUUCGUAAAUAUCUGUUGGUAGAGAAGAACGUUGGUUAGAGUGGAAAGCUCAUCAAGUGACGGUAACGACCCAGAAAGGGAGGGCUAACUACGUG